UGAGGUAGUGGUUUGUGUAGUUAGGGGCAGUAAUGUUGCCCAUCGGAGAUAACUAUGCAAUCUACUGCCUUGC
rnacentral:pre_miRNA from 1 species